rnacentral:rRNA from 1 species
GACGAACGCUGGCGGCGUGCCUAAUACAUGCAAGUUGAGCGCUGAAGACUGGUACUUGUACCGGUUGGAUGAGCAGCGAACGGGUGAGUAACGCGUGGGUAACCUGCCCUAUAGAGGGGGAUAACUAGAGGAAACUUUAGCUAGUACCGCAUAAAAUCUAAUAACACAUGUUAUAAGAUUGAAAGUGCCAAUUGGUACACUAUAGGAUGGACCCGCGUUGUAUUAGCUAGUUGGUGAGGUAAAGGCUCACCAAGGCGAUGAUACAUAGCCGACCUGAGAGGGUGAUCGGCCACACUGGGACUGAGACACGGCCCAGACUCCUACGGGAGGCAGCAGUAGGGAAUCUUCGGCAAUGGACGAAAGUCUGACCGAGCAACGCCGCGUGAGUGAAGAAGGUUUUCGGAUCGUAAAACUCUGUUGUAAGAGGAGAACACCAGUAAGAGUGGAAAGCUUACUGGCUGACGGUAUCUUACCAGAAAGCCACGGCUAACUACGUGCCAGCCGCCGCCGUAA